GGAGAAUGAAAGGAGAAUCAAGUGAAGGGAAAGGAGGAAGGAGGCAGCAGAGAACACAAGAAGUUCCCUUUCACAGGAGGAAAAGAAGUGAACAUAAUUAUGGGACCAGAAUGGACAGCUAUACGUACACCUGGAGUUUUUAUGUUAAAUUUUGAAUUGUUGCUCUCAAAAUGGGCUGGCCUUGAUGUCACUGCUCCAGUGAGAACCGAAGCCAGGGCGGCAGCAGCAAAGCACCUGUUCCCUGAAAAGCAGACCUCAGAACAGCAGGAACACAGCCGGGGCCUGCAGGAAAACACCCAGGAGAGAGACGAAUAUUCUUUGACAACAGCUGCCAAGAAUUACAAGA
rnacentral:lncRNA from 1 species